UAUAGGUACAUAUAGCUCCAGAAAAGCCUUCUUUUUUUUUUUCCUGGUACUAGGGAUUGAACUCAGGGAACUCCAUCACUGAGCCACAUAUUCAGCCUUUAUUUAUUUAUUUAUUUAUUUAUUUGUAUUUUAUUUAGAGACAGGGUCUCACUGAGUUGCUUAGCACCUCCCUUUUGCUGAAGCUGGCUUUGAACUCGUGAUCCUCCUGCCUCAGCCUCCCAAGCUGUUAGGAUUACAGGCAUGUGCCACUGUGCCUGGCUAGAAAAACCUUCUUAAUCAUUAAAAUUUGUGGCAACAUCUUACAAAAUGUUUGAUCCUUUAGGAAUCUUAUUUACUUUGAGAUUCUAAAGUACCUCUAUAAACUAAAAACCUAAUGACGUGAAACAAUUAUCUGACACUCUUGUAAUGAUUCAGGACAAUUUAGGAUUGCAAUGAGUGAUAUAAAUGGUGUAUAUACAUUUGUGUAAGUAUUUUUUUCCCUCAUGUCAGUUUAUAGCCUUGGUUCCAAUCUCUUUUAAGCUUCACGAAUUACAAAUCAAAAUAUGCUAACAUAAAUAGUGACAUUUGGCUUCAUUCAAACUUUUUAAAUUGAAUUUGUCUGUUUGUACUAAGUUUAAUUGCUUAAAGCACCAAGUCCAGAAGAUGAAAGUUAGCACUGGAUUUGUUUUCGUUCUGGGUACUGGCUGAAAACGAAUGGUCGAAAAGCACUGUAAUAUUUGAUUUUGAAGAGCUUGGACUAAAGGGAUUGCAUGUUGCCACUCAGGUCCUCAGCAAGGAAAGGCACACAGCUCUUAUUAUUUAGUGUGUAAUCACGCACCUUGCAGCCACAGCCAGGAGAGCAGAGUGUUUGGUUUUGUUAUGCAACAGCAGCCAGGCACACAGCCACUCAGCCACCCUUCACCUGCCCCGCUCAAGAGGGCCCUCAGCUGGGUUUCCUGCUAUGUUUUUAACCAUUGGACAACUGUGUGAAGUUCUAAGAAACUGUUAAGACUGUGGCCUGGGGAUGCAAACCUUUGGGGCACCUCCUUGGGGCAAAGAAAGGAAAAGAACUAGCAGAACAGCUCCAGAGAGGGAGAGAAGUUGAAUUGCUAGAGGGACCUAAUGGACAGUCUCCCCAACAGACACGGGAGCAGAAAGACAGGCACUGAGAGAAAAUGUAUAUCCUAAACUGAGAGAAUUCUGCAGAGAAAACUAUGGACUGGAAUUUCAGGUCAUAGAUCUGUACUGGGGCGUUGAUGAAGAUGAAUGGGACAGCCCUGAGCUCCAGAAGACACGCAUGAAGCUGCUGGAGGAUUGCUUGAAAACUUCUGCAGGUCCAUGUUUUGUUAAAAGGAAACUAACAAAGCUGUCUAUAAAAAAUAUAGACCACUACAAUGGAAGAUGGCAGAGGUCACAUUCCAUCAUGCUCCAAAAAGCCAGAUGUGGAAAGCAUCACAGGAUGAGAAGACUCUGGGGUAGCUCAUCUGCCAUGAUCUCCAUAGCUGUAUCUUAAUUCAGCCUAAGAAGUUUGGGAUUGAGAGAGACAUUCUCCCCCUUUUAUAAACCUGUAGACUGUCAAACUAACUAAAAUUACUCUUGGCUGUUAACUCCAAUAACUUGCUAGAAGGAGAAGGAAUGAGUAAUUUGUAGACUGCAAGUUUGUGCAGUUCUGAGAGUAAAAGCAAACUGAUGGGGCAGGAGCAACAACUUCAUUGCAUGGAAACAAAUCAUCUGUCCCUCCUUCUGCUCCCUGUUUCAGGCUUAAACUCAGGGCAAACCACAGUGAAACCCUGCAGAGCAAGACAGGAUUGUUCAUCCCGUAGUCCCAACUACACAAGGCUUGCUCACUGCUUCUAGGAAAAAGUACACUUCUUCUGGCCAUUCCUGUUGUAACUAUGGUAACAGGCAUGUGUGUAUCUCUUUUGCACAAAAACUUCCUUGCCUAGUGCUCCUUUCCAGUAUUUCUAAAAAUCAUAAUGACCCCUGGGAAAUGAAAAGCUGGGCAUGUUACUUACCCUAAUGCUAAAGUCUGGGCAAGAAAAUUCACUAUUACUAAAUGAAAAAAAAAAUUAUAACUUAACAGAUACUAGCCCUUUAUGUUAAAUACAGAUGAAUUCAUGACCAAAGUUUUCAUUUUAAAUACCCAAGGAAUGAGGUCCAGAGGGAACUUCAACUUAAGUAUUAUUUGUGCUUGAUGCUCUUCAACUUUAUUUUCUAAAGCAUAAUUGGCAUGUGGCUGUGCUGGCAGUCCUACAGAGCAGUUUUCACACGUUUUUUGGUCACAAAGAGAUAAGGUUCUAGAAUAAGGGCACCUGGACAUAAUGUCAGAUCCUGCUUGUGGAGAACUCGCUCAGGGGAGAUCUCUACUGAGGGAGAACAACAUUAGUAUAAGGGGGGCAGAAGGAGGAAAAGCCCGGAAUUUUGUAUUUCACAGCCUUGGUGAAGGCCCUAGUUCUGACAGGCUGUCUACCACACUUUAUCAUAUCCACAAAGGUGAGGACAUAAUAAUGGUAAGCAUAAAAGUAAAUUUUGAAUUAACUUCAAAGGUUUGUUGUGGGGAUCAGAUUGAUCGUGUAGAGUUUUUGUGAAGUUUACAAAAAGUUACACAACCAUUAGUUAUUUUUAAACUAUGAUUUAGGUUAUUCUUCAGUGAGAAUGAAAUUUUCACUCAUAUUGAACAUUUAUAUGAUAUUGAAUGUUUUCCCUUAAAAAAAAAUGUUGGGAUAGUCAACAUGUAAGAAGGAUUAAGACUUGAUUCAGUCAAAUAUUAAAGUGUUUUAAAACUUC